CCUCCAACUUUGUGUUUUUCCUGCAGUUAAGAAUUGCCAUCGUUUUUCUUUUGCUUAGUUUUCAAAAAUAGCUAUUGCUAAUAUUUUCUGAAUGUUCUGUGUAUAUCUGUUAAACAUCUAGCAACGCUUUUCUUCCAAAUGCCCAAGUGUCUGAAAUAAUCGCUCACUAUCCCCUCCUCUACUGCCAGAGAUCUCCCUUCUUUGCCCUGUCAUCUUGCUACAAAAAGAUAACAUCUUGUUACCCUCUAUACCUGGGGCUCAGGUGUCAUCUGAGGACUUCUUAGCAUCAGUCUUCUUCUUUGCGUUGCUUCUCUGUUUUCUGGAGUCCCUUUGUUCCUUGUUCUUGGCUUAGUCUUUUAUUUCACUGAAUCAUAUCCCUCACUACCUUCCUAAGAAAAGGUGUGUAGGAGGUAAAAAUUUUGAGUUUUUACAUGUCUGGAAAUGUCUUUAUUCCACAGUUAUCCUUUAUUUGGCUAAGUAUAGAAUGCCAGGAUAAAAAUAAUUUUCACUCAGAACUUUGGGUGCCCAACACUACUCUCCUCCUGAACUGCUGUUGUAUUCCUUCAUACACGACCGAGUCUCACUCUGUCACCUAG
rnacentral:lncRNA from 1 species